AGACAGAUUAACAGGAAAAAAGCAUACAAGUUUUCCGUGACAUAAGAGCCUUCAUAAGGAAAUAAGACCUGUAGAGACAGUUAGACCUGAGUAUUUUUAUGCUAGGUUUGCUGAAAAAUGGACGGUCGUGGAGGAAUAUGAUAGGUUUGAGAGUAUGAGUUUUCCUUUCAUGUACACCAAAUAAAUAUGAACACCUUCUUGAUGCCUCUUCCCACAAUGUGUCCUCCUGUGUAUGUGCACCCCUGGUGUCUCUCCUUCAACUUAUAAGGACACUAAAUCAGGGGGAGGGUAUAGCUCAGUGGUAGAGCACAUGCUUAGCAUGCACGAGGUCCUGGGUUCAAUCCCCAGUACCUCCUCUAAAAAUAAAUACCUAAUUACCCCCCCCACCAAAAUAAAAUAAUUAAAUAAUACAAUAAUAAAUAAAUAAAAUAUUUUUUAAAAUAUAAGGACACUAGUCAUAUUUGAUUAAAGUCCACCCUAAUAGCCUCAUUUUAACUUUGUUACCCCUUUACAAGCCCUAUCUCCAAACACUGUUACUUUCUGAGGUACUGGGGGUUACUUUCUGAGGUACUCAACACACUUCAGUCCAUAACUGGAAGUAACAUUUCUUGAUAAUAAAAAUAGCUAACAUUCACUGAGCAAUUCUUAUAUGCUAUCAACCAUAAUAAGCACUUUAAACAUUUUAACUCAUUUCAUCCUCAUAACAACCCGAUGAGCUAGAUACUUUUAUAAUCCCCAUUCUGCAGAUACAAAGACUGGGGCAGAGAGAGCGUAAGUAACUUGCCCAAGGUCUCACAGCUAGAAAGUGGCAGAGCAAGGAUAUGAAUCCAGAUGUCUUGGCUACAAAACCCAAGACACUUUAUAGCAUAUAGACCGAAAUGUUUUUUCAGCAGAAAACCUGCUAUCCCAAAUUGGUUAACUAUGGUUCAAUAUUCUGUCUGUUAUGGACUGAAUUGUGCUCCCUAAAAUUCAUAUAUUGAAUCCCUCACCCGUAUUGUGACUAUAUUUGGAGAAAGGGCCUUUAAAGAGAUGAUCAUGGUUAAAGGCAGUCAUAAGAAUGGGACCCUAAUCCAGUAGGAUUAUUGUGUUUACAAGAAGAAGCAGUGACACCAGGGGUGCAUGUGCACAGAGAAAGGCCAUGUGAAGAAAGCAAAAACGCACCCAUCUGCAAGCCAAGGAGAAACCAAACCUGCCGACACCACGAACUUGGACUUCCAGCCUCCAGAACUGAUGCCACAGAGGCCUGUGACAAAACCAGACUGAACUGGCUCCAUCCAAGAUGGUCAAAAUAAAAUAUCUAAAGUUGGAAGUGUCAUCGGAACAAAAAGAGGAGGAAGGCUCCAAAUCUGCUUUCCAAAAAGGAGCGCAAGGGAUCUGAGAGUCUGAGAGGCUGUGACUUGGAACUAAAGUCAAAAGAUACAGACAACCCUUGAAGACAAGGGAAGCCUGGAAGGUGACACUUGGGUCUAACCAGCAAGCAGCAGGACUGCCAUGUUAAAAUCCUCUCAGCAGCCGUCCUUCCACAGGGAUGAGGUUACGCAAGAGCCUUAAGUCCACAUAAAGCACUGCACUUGGGAAUCCUUCCCUCACCUUUUCUUCUUCUCUGCUUUCUGAAUCCUAGCCCUUCAGCUUUCUCAUGAGGCCUGUCUGGGUGGAAGCGGAGGACUAAACGAACAGAAUGCUGCAGCUCAGGCACUCCCGUGUGCACCAAAUGCACAAUGUCCACUUCAGCGAAACCCUCUUAACUUGCAAGAGGUAGCAAGCUUUAUUUGGAUGUUAAUAACAUAUGUGGCCCUGGUAAGGAGAGGGGAACUGAGAAAGAUGAAUGGCACUCAAAUCAAAGCAAAAGCCAGCUGCCCCUUCCUUUUUCUCUGUAGGCAUAAACCAGCACAGAAGUAGCCCCUGUUUCAAGGCAGGAGGGGAAGUCAGGGAGAAAACAAAAGGGGAGGCCUCUCUGAUGGAGUUCUAUUAAUUUUUUUUUUUACAAAGUUUAAAGGGCUUCUUUUGAAAAGCCAGCCUAGAAUUUAAGCUACUACCCCAAAUAAGACGUGGCAUUAUCUGCAGACAUCACCUAAUCCUGCACUGUGAAAUUAACAUUCGUCUAAAAAAAGGGAGUUUUCUCUUUUCAGAACCGACCUUUUUAAAAAUAUUCACAAUUUAGAUGAUUUUGGUUUUGCCAAUGAGAAGAAUUAGAACUUCUCUGGGGGAAAAAUGGGUUUCAACAGACAUUUUUGUUCUUCUCUGCUAAGAUUUUUGGUUCAGAAAUUUGGACUCCAGAUGCAUAAGAAAUCUUUAGCUUUUGAGACACAAAACAAUGUUUACCUGAUCUGGAGCUGUGAGUGAGGGUUCUUCUCAAAUGAGACUCAUUUCCUUGGGCUACAACACCCCAGUUUCCAGCACAGGCUGCCUGAAUCAUGGUGUUUUCCUAGUGAAGCUGGCUGGGUAAGGCACAGAUUAAAGGAGAUUACUCCUGUAGUUUGCACUACCUUAAAUUCAUUAUUACACUUCAUUUAGAAAUGUAAUUCAUUUAUUCAUUUCUUAAAAUCAUUGAGUGUGCUGAUGGGCAAAGUGGAAAUUAGUAAAAUUUCCCUGUCCCUCACAUCAGUUCUUUGUUAAUUUAUGCUGUGAAAAAAUUAAGAAUAAUAAACUUUCAUCUAAGCAUUCCCAAAACAUUA